AUUGAACGCUGGCGGCAUGGCUAAAACAUGCAAGUCGAACGAUCCCUUCGGGGAGAGUGGCGAAAGGGCGAGGAAUAGAAUCGAAUGUACCCCCAAGGUGGGGGAUAGCCUCUGGAAACGGAGGGUAAUACCCCAUGUGCUCUACGGAGGAAAGGUUUACCGCCUUGGGAGCAGCGAUUCUCCUAUCAGGUAGUUGGUGAGGUAACGGCUCACCAAGCCGAAGACGGGUAGCGGGUGUGAGAGCAUGACCCGCCGCAUCGGGACUGAGACACUGCCCGGACUCCUACGGGAGGCUGCAGUAACGAAUCUUCCGCAAUGGGCGAAAGCCUGACGGAGCAAUGCCGCGUGUGGGAUGAAGCAUCUUCGAUGUGUAAACCACUGUCAGGGUCUAGGAAUACUGACCAGACCCAAAGGAAGGGCCGGCUAAUUCCGUG
rnacentral:rRNA from 1 species